GAUGAACGCUGGCGGCGUGCCUAAUACAUGCAAGUCGAGCGAACAGACGAGGAGCUUGCUCCUCUGACGUUAGCGGCGGACGGGUGAGUAACACGUGGAUAACCUACCUAUAAGACUGGGAUAACUUCGGGAAACCGGAGCUAAUACCGGAUAAUAUAUUGAACCGCAUGGUUCAAUAGUGAAAGACGGUUUUGCUUUCACUUAUAGAUGGAUCCGCGCCGCAUUAGCUAGUUGGUAAGGUAACGGCUUACCAAGGCAACGAUGCGUAGCCGACCUGAGAGGGUGAUCGGCCACACUGGAACUGAGACGCGGUCCAGACUCCUACGGGAGGCAGCAGUAGGGAAUCUUCCGCAAUGGGCGAGAGCCUGACGGAGCAACGCCGCGUGAGUGAUGAAGGUCUUCGGAUCGUAAAGCUCUGUUAUUAGGGAAGAACAAAUGUGUAAGUAACUAUGCACGUCUUGACGGUACCUAAUCAGAAAGUCACGGCUAACUACGU
rnacentral:rRNA from 1 species